AGCGAACGCUGGCGGCAUGCCUAACACAUGCAAGUCGAACGAGACCUUCGGGUCUAGUGGCGCACGGGUGCGUAACGCGUGUGAACCUGCCCUUAGGUUCGGAAUAACUCCCCGAAAGGGGUGCUAAUACCGGAUAAUGUCUUCGGACCAAAGAUUUAUUGCCUUUGGAUGGGCCCGCGUUGGAUUAGCUAGUUGGUAGGGUAAAAGCCUACCAAGGCGACGAUCCAUAGCUGGUCUGAGAGGAUGAUCAGCCACACUGGGACUGAGACACGGCCCAGACUCCUACGGGAGGCAGCAGUGGGGAAUAUUGGACAAUGGGCGAAAGCCUGAUCCAGCAAUGCCGCGUGAGUGAUGAAGGCCUUAGGGUUGUAAAGCUCUUUUACCCGGGAUGAUAAUGACAGUACCGGGAGAAUAAGCUCCGGCUAACUCCGUG
rnacentral:rRNA from 1 species